CAGCAGCCACGGGAAUACAGAGGGUGCGAGCGUUAAUCGGAUUUACUGGGCGUAAAGCGUGCGUAGGCGGCUUCUUAAGUCGGAUGUGAAAUCCCUGAGCUUAACUUAGGAAUUGCAUUCGAUACUGGAAAGCUAGAGUAUGGGAGAGGAUGGUAGAAUUCCAGGUGUAGCGGUGAAAUGCGUAGAGAUCUGGAGGAAUACCGAUGGCGAAGGCAGCCAUCUGGCCUAAUACUGACGCUGAGGUACGAAAGCAUGGGGAGCAAACAGGAUUAGAUACCCCUGUAGUCCCUGUCUCUUAUAC
rnacentral:rRNA from 1 species